rnacentral:rRNA from 1 species
CACGGAGGAUGCGAGCCGUUAUCCGGAUUUAUUGGGUUUAAAGGGUGCGUAGGCGGCUUUUUAAGUCAGCGGUGAAAUUUUGCAGCUUAACUGUAACAGUGCCGUUGAUACUGGGGAGCUAGGAUUUGGUUGCUGUGGGUGGAAUGUGUGGUGUAGCGGUGAAAUGCUUAGAGAUCACACAGAAUAUCAAUUGCGAAGGCAGCUCACAAAGCCAAGAUUGACGCUGAGGCACGAAAGUGUGGGGAUCAAACAGGAUUA